AAGUCGUAACAAGGUUUCCGUAGGUGAACCUGCGGAAGGAUCAUUAUCGAGUUUUGAACGGGUUGUAGUUGGCCUCUCACGAGGCAUGUGCACGCCUGGCUCAUCCACUCUUAACCUCUGUGCACUUUAUGUAAGAGAAAAAAUGGUGGAAGCUUCCAGGAUCUCGCGAGAGGUCUUCGGUUGAACAAGCCGUUUUUCUUUCUUAUGUUUUACUACAAACGCUUCAGUUAUAGAAUGUCAACUGUGUAUAACACAUUUAUAUACAA
rnacentral:misc_RNA from 1 species